UCUCAGGAAUGGGCUGAUGACUCUGGCUGUGUGGAGAGUGAUGAGCUGAGGGUACCAGAUACAGGGAAGGGAUGCCCGGGAAGGGAGGCAAGAAUGGGUCAGGAGGGUGUUGGGGGUGAGCACUUGUCCUCAGUUUCCUUCUCUGGAAAAUGGGGGCAAGAGUAAGCCCCCCAUCAUUGGGAGCGCCCUCAAGCUGGAGCUGCGAAAGGCCCACUUGGCAGCGGCAUGGAUCCCAGGGGACCUGGGCCGGCCAGGUUGAGGCUUCCAGAGGAGUGGGAGGACUUGCCACCACCUGUGAGGGUGUUUUUGUACAUUCUCAGAGUUUGGUUAAACAAAUUAUUGGUAGCCACAGGAUGACUAAUUCACUCCAAACGUCAAAGCCAUAUGCCGCUCUCCUCAGCACUCACCCCAGGGCCACCCUCACUUCUGCUGGGGGUGGUCGCCAUUCAGGGUGCUGGGGGUGGUCGCCAUUCAGGGUGUGGGGGGCUUGCCUCGUCCAACGUUAGGCAUCUGUGCACACAGCCUCGGCUCCACCACCCAUGACCACCUUGCAGUGCCCACCAGCCCCUGUGACAGCAAAGCAUUGAGGACACGGGCCACACACUAGUCUCCCCUUGCUUGGAAAGGUGUGAGUGUCCACCAUCAUGAGCCGCAGUGUGAGGUGUGAAUGAGUCCUGCCAUCGGUGCUGACUCGUCAUCCCUUGUGGUCACCGUGGCAGCACCUGCAUCCCAAGUCCUGGGAGUGCAGGCCCCAGGACAUGUGGAGAGAGACUCAUAGGCAGGGAGGGACACAACACCCUGGCCAAGCCCCCCAACUUGUGGGCUUUGCUCUGGCUCUGGCUGCUGGCGGGGCACUGGCCAGGGGAUGCGCCUGCACCAGCCUGCCCUUACACCACCAGGCAUCUGGAGCAGCUCAGAGAAAGUUUCUUGCCCAAAGAAAUGAUGGAGGGUGUUGGCCGUGGCAGCUCAGCCCUGCCCUUAAAGGUGCCAUAGCAACACACCCUCGUCCUCUGCCCCAGCCCUGCCUCGGUCUUCACCUCUGUGAAAUGGGCCCCUGGGGUCUCUCUGCAGCCCUGCCUUCUGCCUCCCUCCUAGCCACCCGAGACGCCACAAUGGGGAAGCCUUGCCUGGCCCUUCAAGGCCCAAGCCCCAGACCCAGUGCCAUAGCAGGAGCCCCUCCCCGGAGGUCACCAGGAACAAGCAUGGCACCGAGCACGCCGGGAUUUAAGUGGAAGCUGCUGUUGCUCACAUUUGCCCUGGGCCGGAUGCUGCGCUGGAGCCUUCCUGCCCACAGGGAGGAGGACGUCCUCCUGCCCCUUGGCCACCUCCCCUCCUGCCAUCACCAGUGACCGGGUCACAGGUGAGAAGCUGAGGCCCUGGCUCUGGAGCUGGAUUUGGGUCCAGGUGGGGCUCUCUGGGCAGCACCUCAGCUGGGCCAUCAGCCCCACUCCUGCCUGCGUGGCCCUGGGGCCUCCAGCCCGGCUCCUCCCUUCCUUCUCCCCCCCUUGAGGGCCGCCGGGCAGGAAUGUGGCGCUGACCUUGGGCAGAGCUGGAGAGGCAGAUAACGGCCUCCUGUCCGCCUGCACCCUGCUCAGUCUCGCUGGGCCAGCUGGCUGCAGCCUCCCCACUAUUAAGUGGGGGCCGGGAGCUGCUAUGGGCCUCUGCAAGCCAGGUAGGGCUAGGCCAGGCCUGGCCCCUGGGGGUCCCUCAAGCCCCUUCCCCCAGCUAGAAUGGGAAUGGGGCAUCAGCCCAGUGGCAGGGUGCGCCAUCUGCCCCACACCACCCAAACACCCCCCUUACACUGGGGUGCUGGACCCGUUUCGCACAAAAGAAAUGGAGGACUAGAGAGGGUGAGUGGCUGCCUCAGAAUCACACAGCACACCCAACUGUUCUUGUGGAAACAGAGCCCUCAGGGAUAGGCCACAUGAGCCUGACCCAUUCCUGGCUGAGGACCUGUGUCCCUGGGCCCUGGUCCGGCAGGUGCUGCUUGCCCAGGAGGCCCCGCAGUAGAACUUCCUGCAGGCAGCCAUGGGGUCAGGCAGGGACCCGGAGUCAAGGCUGUGAGUUGCACUGAGCCUCCGUCCAAGCUCUCUGCCAAGUGGGUGUCACAGGGAUAUGGAACAGGCUCUGGCAGUGCAAGUUCUGCAGAUGGGGACCCCAAGACCUCAAGAGACACCCGGCCACUGUGUGUUCGAGGUAGGCAGAGGCCACCCCUCCCUCCCCGUUAUAGUGCUGCGGUCCUCUGCAGUCCCCUCCGUGUGCCUGUUCAUGUCAGUCCCUCCUGGCAUCUGACUUCAAGUUCUGGCUCUUCCCAUCUGUCCUGUCAUGGAUACUGUCUCAGUUUGCCUUUUCUCCCUAGAGCCCAGGACCAGAGGGGCACCAGGGCGGGUUGUUCCUUCUGCCUGGGUUUUCCCUCUAGACCCAGGGACGGGGCCUCCUAGCCACAGGGUGCCUGGCCUGGGCCCUGCUGGACCCUCAGGGACUGGGCAGAGUCUCUGCUGCCCCGGGCUCCUUUGUACCCCUCUGAGCCAGGAGGGGAGCUCCUGGCACCAUUGGGCUGCCAGGGGCCCUAUAGAGCCCCCCAUGAGCCCAUCCAGCCCAGGCCCAGCUGCUGGCAGCACAGCGGUGCUCUCUGAGAUUGUCCAGGCUGGCUGUGCCCAUACUGUGCCCAGCACCACGGACCAGGCUUCAAUCCUCCAGGGCCUCCUGCAUGCUAGGCAGGUGCUUUACCCUGGAGCUGCAUCUCCAGCCCUUUAUGUUUUUUGAGACAGGGUAGAAUUUGGGAUUCUCCUGCCCUCAGCCUCCCCAUUAGCUGGGAUUACAGGUAUGCACCACCGUGCCCAGCUUAGGGGUGGUUUUUGUAGGGAGAGCUCCUUGGCUCCCUGCUGGGCCCAGUGACACCCACCCGGAAACCAGGGCCUUGUAGGGCUGUAGGCCAUGUCCAGCUUGGUCUCAGCUGUGGCCCCAGGCAAGUCCUUUCCCUCCCCAGGCUAAGGCUGUCGAAGAGACCAGCAUCCACCUCACCUAGCACCUGUGGGGCCAGUCCUGCCCAGGCCAGAGCAGGUGGAUGGGGGCCUGGAGCCAGGAAGCAGCCUCCACAUUUGAGGGGUUCACUGAGCAUCCCAGGCUGCAUCGGGCUGGACUGAGAGCUCCACCUCGCAGGGUGGAGCCCAUGGGGGUCCCUGGCUGAGUUACGACUAAUAUUUCUUGUUCCUGAGGCUGGGCAUAUGUGAGGCUCUGGUCGGGACAGGACCCUGUAGGUCCCAAGGCAGGAUGGGGACAUUUACACCCUGCCUGACUCGCCAUGUCCCCACCACCUGCUCUCUUCCCACCCAGGGACUCUGAGCUGCCUUGGUUGCCCCAUCCCGGGCCAGAACAGCAUCCCAUCCCAGGCCGUCACAGGCACCCAGGCCUGGCAGCCACCUCUCUCCCCACACUCCUGAGCCGGGUCCCUGCUCUGGCUCCCUGUCCGGGCCUCUGGCGGCCGCAGGUUUCAGCUCCUGUGAUAACUCGGAAAGUUGAACUGGCCCCAUUACUGCGCCGAGAUGGUUGGCAAGAUAUGGCCCCGAUAAUGGAGGAGAUAGUGGCGUCUCCGUGGCCAGUGGCCCAGCCUCCCUCCCAUUAACAUUCCCCACCAGCGAUCCUCGCGCCUAUCUCCUCCAUUUCCACUCCUCCCGCAGAUAAGAGUGGAAAUUCUGACUUCAUAGCUCACUGAUUAAAGUGUCUGGAUUUCUUGAUAAUACACAGAUAAAUUAUGUUUUUGAAAAAGAAGGUAGGGAGGAGGGUGGGGAGCGAGGAGCCCCUGGAGGGGAGCCCAUGGCCAGCUUUCUUGGCCAGGCUAGGAACCGUGGUGCCCAGGCCCGCAGUACAGCCAGGUUCACGACCAGAUCCAGUACCACCUGGGCCACAGUGGGCUGGCUGGUGCAGGCUGCAGGCAGGCAGGCAGCAGAGGGCUCGUGGCAGGC
ensembl:lincRNA